rnacentral:rRNA from 1 species
CCUGAGUAACGGCGAGCGAAAAGGGAAGAGUCCAGCGCCGAAUCCCGCACUCUUUGGGUGCUGGGAAAUGUGGCGUUUGGGAGUGAGCGUGCCGGAAGUAGGCUCUGCAGCAAGUCCCCCUGACCGGGGCUCUUUCCCAGAGUGGGUGCGAGGCCCAUAGCUGCUAGGUCUCUUCCGGAUGCGAUCUCCUUGGAGUCGGGUUGCUUGGGAGUGCAGCCCUAAUCGGGUGGUAAACUCCACCUAAGACUAAAUACCGCCGUGAGACCGAUAGCAAACAAGUACCGUGAGGGAAAGUUGCAAAGAACUUUGAAGAGAGAGUUCAAGAGUACGUGAAACUGCUCAGAGGAAAACGGGUGGGCCCUCGAAAUCCUGUGGCGGGAGGAUUCAGUCGGGAGGUCCGGGGGAACGGGGGAGGAAUGAUUGGAACCCGCGACCGGGCCACUUUCCUCGUUCCAUCCCGGGCCGACAGACGCAUUUCUUUCCCGCCCGAAGGACGCCGCAACCGGUUGGCGAGACGACCUUAAGGACGGGAGCUGGCAGGUGGCCGGUGGCGCUCCUCGUGAGAACCGCCGGUCUUAGCCUUUCCGUCGCACGGUCGUUUCCCGACCGUGGUGUCGCGAGGCCCCUCAUGGGCCUCUCCGCCUCCUCCGCAAGGUAGCGAGCGAGACGCAGCAGGUGAGUCCUUGGUUUCUGCCGGCGCACGGACUCGCUCCGUGGCCGUGCGGACCAGGGUCCCCGUUGGUUGUGCGAGGCUCGUUGGAGGUUGGCGGUUCGCGGCGAGUAGAUCGGUCACCCACCCGACCCGUCUUGAAACACGGACCAAGGAGUAUAACAUGUGUGCGAGUCAGUGGGUCUCGAGUAAGUCCACAGGCGCAAUGAAAGCGAGGGCCUUUAAAGCCAAGUUGGGAUCCCUUCUCCUUCGCGGGAGGGGCGCACCAACGACCCGUGCCGUCCGAUUUAUCGGUGGGACGGAGUCCGAGCACACACGUUGUYGCCCGAAAGAUGGUGAACUAUGCCCGGGCAGGACGAGGCCAGAGGAAACUCUGGUGGAGGUCCGCAGCGGUUCUGACGUGCAAAUCGAUCGUCAGACCCGUGUAU